GGUGAAGAAUUUCAUAUCAUUGGUAGGUCCUCAUGCUGGCACAGCUUCUAUUCCAUUUUGUGGAGUAAAUUUUAUAGUACCACUUAAAUGUUCCUUGGCUGGCAAAAUCAAUGUCUAGAAUGUUUUGUGGAUCUUGUAAUUGAGUUUGAUCUUAAGGUGACUCUUCUCAAAGGCCUUAGACAGGAAUUGAUGAGCAGGUAUCUUCUACACAUUGAUAUAUACAUACACACAUGUACACAAUCACACACGUCGAUGAGGUUAAGGGUAAGCCUAUUGAAAACCCAUAAUGGUCUUAAGAGGUUGAGAGUGAACCUACUGAAAACCCGGAUAUGUUAUAUUUGUUAUAUGGGUUGUUGGUAGAGGUUGCGGGUGAACCUACCGAAAACCCAUGUAUAUUGUUUUAUUUAUUGUAGCAUUAUUGAAAACCUAUAUAUGUUAAAUGGAAAUGCAACAUCAAGA